AACCUGAGGAGUGGGGUACCCAAGCUGCCUGUUCCACAGAGUGAGCAACUGACCCGGUGGCACUGACCCUGCCCAGGCUCAAGGGGAGUUGGGAGGAGCGGGUGUGCACCCUCUCUGUGCUGUCCCCAGGGAAAUGCUAUGCUGAACUGCUGUAUGCCGUGACACUCUAAUCCUGAGAUCACCAGGAAUGAGAGAAUCCCAGAAAUUCUGAGAGAUUGUACAGAUCCUCCAGAGAGAAGAUUGCUCCCGGCUCCCCCUGCAGGUUAAACAAGAGGAUGAGACCUUCCCGCAGCAGCGCAACUACAAGGAGAUAAUUCCUACACAGAUCAGCACAGGAUCUCCGGAGAUGAGAGUUGCAGAGAAUACAAGAAGCAGCAGGAUUCCCAGGUACUUCAUGGUUCUGUGCAGUUGGAUCCACUGGUGCUGCUCUGUUACUGCAGGGAUCAGUCUGGUGUCUCCCCAAAGCCCCAGCCCCUUAUAUACAGCCUUGCCCUCACUCCCCGCCCUUCUGUGCCAUGUCAGGAAUUCCUAAUCCCACUCUAUUUCAGUGUCAAUGAUAAUUGUUAGAUUCAUUAUAAUUAGGGUAAUUAUAAACUAUAGCAUGAAAAAUGAUACAUAGUAUUAAUAUUUCCUUUUCAUUUUUUCAUGGACACAAUCUCAAGGAGAAUGGAGCUACUCAGGAACUGCUCUCCUACUGUUAAAUCAAUUAGCUGGACUGUAAUUAGCUGUGGUAAAUCAUAAUCAAUAGCAAAGCUUCAGUAUCACUAUACACUGUGGGUGACA